CAGACAUUAAUGUGACAUUUCUAAGUCAUACCCCCCCACUCUCCACCACUACAGAUGAUCUACAACUGCCAAAUCCCAACCGUACUCCUUUCUCUGUUUAGAUGUGGAGGCAGCAUCCAUCUACAAUGCAAGCAACAGCAGCUAGGUAGUUUUUAUAAAAUUCUUUUAGUUUUUACUCUGCUUGGGUUCUACACAACAGAUGCUCAAGCUUUCAUUACCAUUAAGGUUGAACAAUUGUUUCUAUUCGUGUGACUUCAAAAUAGUUUUAUUAUUAUCAUUAUAUUAACACAUGAGGUUCAGCUUCCUUUGCAAAAACAAACAAAUUUAUUCAUACAAAAGACCUUACUUUUCCCCGUUACCUCAGUCAAGUAUCUGUACCUCUACUCAAGUGAAGAAUGACUACCUCUGCCUGCAGAUGUGCUGCCUUUAUCAACAUCCAACCAAUAGGACAGAAACCCUUUCAAGGAUCAGUCUGUAUACCCAACCCCCUUUUUCAAAAGGUCUCACAAAGAAUUGCCUGACAGCCAUUUUGAGCCUUCCCACAUCCUGCUUUGUUCUAUAGGCCGGAAGUUCCUGCUCAAAAUGCUAGCAGAGGGCUAACCAUGGGGAGAAAAAGAAAAUUCCAUGUUGGCAUUUCCUGCACAGGCCAUGACUUAUUACCUGAAACGAGAAGCACCCCCUUCUGCAAUCACACUCUCCACUUUGGCGGCUUGAGAAUGAAGAAUACUCAAAAGAAUAAGAAGAAUAGGAAGGGAUGGGGAAAACGGUGCUGAGGAAGAGAAAAGGGAAUGCAAUUAGCCACUAUAGGGGCUCUGGGAAAACAAGACAGGCACGGACUACACGAUUAGAGAAACGUUAAACAGGACACGAUUAGGUUUAAAAAAAAAAAAAUACCCAAAGACAUUUACACGACUGAUAAACAAUUCCGUGACUAGGUCUUCCGAGGCCCAGCCACUCACAGAAAAGAAUAAAUAAAAAUAAAUAACAUAAACCUGCCUCUUUACUUAAGCAAGUUAUACACGAACCCACUACAGAUGUGUUUGCUGAACACUGAUUAAGUGGCAUGAUAAAACGAUAUUAAAUGUCGAAAUGUAAACAUUUGUGCAGGUCUUUGCUCGGCUACAACAAAGCAAAGGUGCGUCAGCUAACUGGCUAACCUAAUUAGCUAGCCUGGUGGGUCUCUAAAGCCAUAGACUACGUCACGACAUUGCUAAGAUUUUUAGAAUUUUUUCCAUAAACCGUGUUUUAACAUUAUAGUUUUCUACAAUUUACCAAGUGUUAAAUGAGAAGCGUGACGCUACGUGGAAAUAGAUGCUUGGGGUUACACUGGCUCUCCACAGUUGGUGCUUUGUGUUGCUUUGCUGCUAUAGCUCG
ensembl:lncRNA